CUACCAUGCAGUCGAGCGGUAGCACAGGGGAGCUUGCUCCCUGGGUGACGAGCGGCGGACGGGUGAGUAAUGUCUGGGAAACUGCCUGAUGGAGGGGGAUAACUACUGGAAACGGUAGCUAAUACCGCAUAACGUCGCAAGACCAAAGAGGGGGACCUUCGGGCCUCUUGCCAUCAGAUGUGCCCAGAUGGGAUUAGCUAGUAGGUGGGGUAAUGGCUCACCUAGGCGACGAUCCCUAGCUGGUCUGAGAGGAUGACCAGCCACACUGGAACUGAGACACGGUCCAGACUCCUACGGGAGGCAGCAGUGGGGAAUAUUGCACAAUGGGCGCAAGCCUGAUGCAGCCAUGCCGCGUGUGUGAAGAAGGCCUUCGGGUUGUAAAGCACUUUCAGCGAGGAGGAAGGUGGUGAACUUAAUACGUUCAUCAAUUGACGUUACUCGCAGAAGAAGCACCGGCUAACUCCGUGCCAGCAGCCGCGGUAAUACGGAGGGUGCAAGCGUUAAUCGGAAUUACUGGGCGUAAAGCGCACGCAGGCGGUUUGUUAAGUCAGAUGUGAAAUCCCCGGGCUCAACCUGGGAACUGCAUUUGAAACUGGCAAGCUAGAGUCUCGUAGAGGGGGGUAGAAUUCCAGGUGUAGCGGUGAAAUGCGUAGAGAUCUGGAGGAAUACCGGUGGCGAAGGCGGCCCCCUGGACGAAGACUGACGCUCAGGUGCGAAAGCGUGGGGAGCAAACAGGAUUAG
rnacentral:rRNA from 1 species